UACGUAGGGUGCAAGCGUUAAUCGGAAUUACUGGGCGUAAAGGGUGCGUAGGCGGCGGGGAAAGUCUGAUGUGAAAUCCUGGGGCUCAACCCUGGAACUGCAUUGGAUACUUCCUUGCUAGAGUACUGGAGAGGAAACUGGAAUUUACGGUGUAGCAGUGAAAUGCGUAGAGAUCGUAAGGAAGACCAGUGGCGAAGGCGAGUUUCUGGACAGUUACUGACGCUGAGGCACGAAGGCCAGGGGAGCAAACGGG
rnacentral:rRNA from 1 species